rnacentral:lncRNA from 1 species
GUUAAGUACCUGCGAUAUUAUAAACUUCCUAUUUGGCCCCUCUUUUAAAAAUUGAAACGGAGUAUUACUUAAAGUGAUGUACUUCGCAACACUAGGGAUUAUUUUCUUUUUAAUAUUGAACAUUCGGAGCAAGUUCCAAAGUUGAUUUACAACAACAAAACACAGCCUUGGCAGGAAGCAAUGACAGAGUGUUUCAGCACUGGAAGCUCACCCGUACAGUAUUAUACAGGUAUAGUUCAAGACAUAUCAGCGGUAGGCCUAAGUCAGACACAGAUAUAUGGACAGCCGAAUACGCUAGUGACGUUAAAAUUACAGGUGUGUUAGAUGACUCAUUUCAAAGUUUAUGUGGCUUUACCUACUUAGAUGGUGUUAAUGCUUUGUUUGGCGCAUGGGAAGUCCUUUACGGAGAUUGUCUCCUACGCAGAAGUUAUCUUUAUAAAAAUGGAACAGCAAGCGAGUUGGAAAUUCUUACCGAUACAUUCUCUGGAGCAGAUUUUAGCCAAUCAUUUCGUCGGGAGGAUUUCCUUAACGCUACGUAUGAAAUCAGACCAGGAUUUUAUUGGACCGGGGAAACAGCAAAUAUUAUAUCAAGACAACUGAAAUGUAGAGUUAGUACUGACACAAAUUGAAGAAGUACAUUUUUAUAUGGAAAAGGCGUUUCUGAUUUCUAAGUAUUUUGCAGCUUUCUGUAAUAAUAGAGGCCUUGUCGUUAGCUCUUACUACGUUUUCUCAACAAUGAUCAUGUCAAAUUACA